UCAGGAAACCCUGCUUCAUCUUUCACCAAGAGCACACAGUCUCUCUCUACACAGCUCCUGGCCUUGGAUCAGUCCACAGAAGCCUCGUGUUCCUCCAGGAUCCCAGAGGCUCAAGGCUGGGCUGGGAUCAGAACACAGCAGGUUUCAGACUCAGGGGCACAGGAUCGGCUUUCGAGGGAGGCCCUGGUAUGAUUUCACUCCCAUCACAGAUUGUGUGAGAGGAAGGGCCAGCACACAGGCAGCCUGAACCCUGAGCCGGAAGCAGAGAGGACAAGUGGAUGGAUGUCACGGACCACCGUGUGGCAUGAGGGAUCUCAGUUCCCCGACCAGGGAUCGAACCUGCGGCCCCCUGCAGUGGAAGCGUGGAGUCCUAACCACUGGACCGCCAGGGAAGUCCGGUAGCUCCUGUUAAAACAACGCUUG